rnacentral:rRNA from 1 species
UACGUAGGGGGCAAGCGUUGUCCGGAAUCAUUGGGCGUAAAGAGCGUGUAGGCGGCCCGAUAAGUCCGCUGUGAAAGUCCAGGGCUCAACCCUGGAAUGCUGGUGGAUACUGUCGGGCUCGAAUCCGGAAGAGGUGAGUGGAAUUCCUGGUGUAGCGGUGAAAUGCGCAGAUAUCAGGAGGAACACCAAUGGCGAAGGCAGCUCACUGGGACGGUAUUGACGCUGAGACGCGAAAGCGUGGGGAGCAAACAGG